rnacentral:lncRNA from 1 species
UGAAGAGGCUUGCCCACAGACAACUAGUUGACACUCAUCUGUAAAAAUGAGCUGGAGAAGGAAAUAGCAAGCCACUCCCAUCUCUCUGCCCCAAAACCCCAAAUUGGUUCAGGAAGAACAGGAGAGGAGUCUGAUGGGACUAAAAAACAACAACAUUCACCUCCCUCCCAUCCUGAUCCUGGGACCUUAAACUUGUGCAGAACACUGAAGAGGAAAACAGAAUCUCUGUGACUGAGGGACAGCCUGACCUGGAGAAGAGUCUCAGCCAAGGGAGGAGAGGCC